UUCAUUGCCAUUGCAAGGUCGUCAUGCAUGUGCUCGGGUAUUCUGUCGAGCGCUUUGGGCUCCAGGUCAACGAUCCCGAUCUGUAGCAGUACCACGUCAUGCUUCUAGCGAAAGUUGCUACAUGCUAGCUACAUGCUUGUAACGCGUUAUGAGCAAACCUUAUGUUUCCAGUCCACCUGCUAAUGUCGAUUUUUUGCAUCGUGAGCAUCAAGGAACAAUCGCGAGCAGUAAGGGCAACCAGAU